rnacentral:lncRNA from 1 species
AACAUUAUUCCAACAUAUGUGUAGCGAGCCGACACCCCCCAGGUAGCUAUUCCCACCCAUAAUUUUGAUUUUCUGCACAUUACAGGGGCAGGACGGGUGUUUGCGCAGGACGGUGUCGCCGGUCCGGGCUCGAACUUCGAACUGAAGUUAGCGAAUCCCGGAAAUGACGUCACACCAUUGUCUCCAGCCCCAUGGUAACUGACGCUGUAUCCGACGCGGGAAGCCGAAUAUGAAGGAUAUAGGGGCAGGACGGGUGUUUGCGCAGGACGGUGUCGCCGGUCCGGGCUCGAACUUCGAACUGAAGUUAGCGAAUCCCGGAAAUGACGUCACACCAUUGUCUCCAGCCCCAUGGUAACUGACGCUGUAUCCGACGCGGGAAGCCGAAUAUGAAGGAUAUAGGGGCAGGACGGGUGUUUGCGCAGGACGGUGUCGCCGGUCCGGGCUCGAACUUCGAACUGAAGUUAGCGAAUCCCGGAAAUGACGUCACACCAUUGUCUCCAGCCCCAUGGUAACUGACGCUGUAUCCGACGCGGGAAGCCGAAUAUGAAGGAUAUAGGGGCAGGACGGGUGUUUGCGCAGGACGGUGUCGCCGGUCCGGGCUCGAACUUCGAACUGAAGUUAGCGAAUCCCGGAAAUGACGUCACACCAUUGUCUCCAGCCCCAUGGUAACUGACGCUGUAUCCGACGCGGGAAGCCGAAUAUGAAGGAUAUAGGGGCAGGACGGGUGUUUGCGCAGGACGGUGUCGCCGGUCCGGGCUCGAACUUCGAACUGAAGUUAGCGAAUCCCGGAAAUGACGUCACACCAUUGUCUCCAGCCCCAUGGUAACUGACGCUGUAUCCGACGCGGGAAGCCGAAUAUGAAGGAUAUAGAUGUAAACAUUAUUCCAACAUAUCGCUGUAUCCGACGCGGGAAGCCGAAUAUGAAGGAUAUAGUCCCAAUAUUAUUGCAAUUCGGUAGCAAAGAUGUUGACACCACAUGUCGUCUGAUGAUGAGUUUUACAGGAUCGAAUAAGGUUUGGUCAUUGUAUUCCCUGAAAGGAACAAGAGGAGAAAAGAAACUGGAAGACCUGAAUGCCUAUCCGCAGGCCAAUGCUGGCUGCAGGUCAAUAUUGAAUGCUCUUAUGAAAACUCACAAGACAAUAACAAAAAAAAAAAAGAAGCUGAGGAUGCUGUUUUUAAAACAUGUUCAAUUCAAAAAUGGUGGAUUGAAAUUUUAGAAAGGUGUGACGGGU